GAUGAACGCUGGCGGCGUGCCUAAUACAUGCAAGUCGAGCGAACGGACGAGAAGCUUGCUUUUCUGAUGUUAGCGGCGGACGGGUGAGUAACACGUGGAUAACCUACCUAUAAGACUGGGAUAACUUCGGGAAACCGGAGCUAAUACCGGAUAAUAUUUUGAACCGCAUGGUUCAAAAGUGAAAGACGUUCUUGCUGUCACUUAUAGAUGGAUCCGCGCUGCAUUAGCUAGUUGGUAAGGUAACGGCUUACCAAGGCAACGAUGCAUAGCCGACCUGAGAGGGUGAUCGGCCACCCUGGAACUGAGACACGGUCAAGACUACUACGGGAGGCAGCAGUAGGGAAUCUUCCGCAAUGGGCGAAAGCCUGACGGAGCAACGCCGCGUGAGUGAUGAAGGUCUUCGGAUCGUAAAACUCUGUUAUUAGGGAAGAACAUAUGUGUAAGUAACUGUGCACAUCUUGACGGUACCUAAUCAGAAAGCCACGGCUAACUACGUG
rnacentral:rRNA from 1 species